ACGGAAGGCAGCAGUGGGGAAUAUUGCACAAUGGGGGAAACCCUGAUGCAGCGACGCCGCGUGAGUGAAGAAGUUAUUCGUAAUGUAAAGCUCUAUCAGCAGGGAAGAAAAUGACGGUACCUGACUAAGAAGCCCCGGCUAACUACGUGCCAGCAGCCGCGGUAAUACGUAGGGGGCAAGCGUUAUCCGGAUUUACUGGGUGUAAAAGGAGCGUAGACGGUCUGGCAAGUCUGAUGUGAAAGGCAGGGGCUCAACUCCUGGACUGCAUUGGAAACUGUCAGUCUUGAGUGUCGGAGAGGUAAGCGGAAUUCCUAGUGUAGCGGUGAAAUGCGUAGAUAUUAGGAGGAACACCAGUGGCGAAGGCGGCUUACUGGACGAUAACUGACGUUGAGGCUCGAAAGCGUGGGGAGCAAACAGGAUUAGAUACCCUGGUA
rnacentral:rRNA from 1 species